rnacentral:lncRNA from 1 species
GAUGCUAUCAUACACAUGAACAUAGGGACAGACUUGUCUUCAAAGGUGCUAAUAUCUUAUAAUGCAAGGUAAGCAAAUCAAGCAAGCUUAUGUGUAUAAUAGAAAUCAUACAGUGUUUUUUAACCUGGUAUUUUGUAUUUUUUUAGAGUUUCCAUUUCAUAAAUGCAGUUCACACUUUUAUAAUUUUAUAAUAUCAGAAUGCUUAAUCUCUUCAGUUUUUUGGAUUAGCCUCCAUUCCCAAUCCAUCUCACAUUAUUGUCAAAGCAGACAAUAGCAAUGAACAGGAAGAGUGCUGGCCACUGAGUUUGUAAUUUUCAUUCUGAUUAUAGUCUUGCAGUUCUUAUUUAAAUGACCAUGUUAGAUUCACAGGCCUGUUUAUGUUUCCUUUUUACAGUGCUGCCAUCUAUGUUGUAUGAUUCAUUAAUUAUAAUCUAAUUACACAAUUGUUUAUCUAGGAAAUAAUAAGCCUUCACCUCUUUUCUUCUUCUGAUAAUUUACUAUCAGUUCCUUGAGUUUUUGUUGGUUUGGGGACUUUCUGUGGAGAAACAGUGUUAGCUUUCUCUUCUUCACCUGAAAAGGUUGCCUCUCCUCCUUUCUUGGAGAAUCUGUGUUUUCCAGUCCUUGCAGUCAUCAGUGUUUGGAUUUUUAAUCCUUCAGUGACUGAUUUGGUAUGGGGGUUCUUAAAUUAUUUUCAUAUAUUAUUGUCUCUGUCUCCUAAGUUACUUAAUUUGUCAGCAUUUCAGAGCCUACAAUCAUUUGAGAGAACUACAGUUGAGGCGGUACACAGUCAGAAUGAUUGUUUGCUAAUUUGGUGAGAGAUUGUGGCAUUGUGACCCUUGACUAGGGAAGGCUUAUCCACUGAGUGUGGAAGAAUUGCUAAGUGAGUAGGGCUGGCCUGGAUGAGCAAGAGAGCAAGCCAGGAAACAAUAUUUGCUCAUGGUUUUUGCUUUUAUGCUUGAAGUUGGAUUUCUAUCAUAAGAUUCCCAAAU